rnacentral:rRNA from 2 species
CCAUAGAUGUUCUGGGCCGCACGCGCGCUACACUGACGGAGCCAGCGAGUACUCCCUUGGCCGGAAGGCCCGGGUAAUCUUGUUAAACUCCGUCGUGCUGGGGAUAGAGCAUUGCAAUUAUUGCUCUUCAACGAGGAAUCCCUAGUAAGCGCAAGUCAUCAGCUUGCGUUGAUUACGUCCCUGCCCUUUGUACACACCGCCCGUCGCUACUACCGAUUGAAUGGCUCAGUGAGGCGUCCGGACUGGCCCAGAGAGGUGGGCAACUACCACUCAGGGCCGGAAAGCUCUCCAAACUCGGUCAUUUAGAGGAAGUAAAAGUCGUAACAAGGUCUCCGUAGGUGAACCUGCGGAGA